AGAAUACCAAGAUUUCCCUGACUUCUCUCCAGAGCUCUCAGCAUCAAGGCGUGAGACCAUGCCCCUCAAUAUCUCUCCACCAAUACAAGAGCCAGCAUCCCAGGGGGCACAGGAGCCAUUGCCAACAGCACCAACUACACAGAGAACCCCAAGAGCCAGGACCAGGACCCGGAAAGUGCUCACUCCAUGUUAUAUGAAGAGGCUUCAGCACUACUGCGACGAGAACUCCCACCUCCAUCAAAUUGUUGCAAGACUUAAAAAGUC